AAUAUUGGCAAUGGCCGGAGCUGAUCCAGCCAUGCCGCGUGCAGGAUGACGGCCCUAUGGGUUGUAAACUGCUUUUAUACGGGAAGAAACGCGCCCACGUGUGGGCGUUUGACGGUACCGUAAGAAUAAGGACCGGCUAACUCCGUGCCAGCAGCCGCGGUAAUACGGAGGGUCCGAGCGUUAUCCGGAAUCAUUGGGUUUAAAGGGUCCGUAGGCGGGCCUGUAAGUCAGGGGUGAAAGUUUGUGGCUCAACCAUAAAAUUGCCUUUGAUACUGCAGGUCUUGAGUCAUGGUGGGGUUGCCGGAACAUGUGGUGUAGCGGUGAAAUGCAUAGAUAUCACAUAGAACACCGAUCGCGAAGGCAGGUGACCAACCAUGUACUGACGCUGAUGGACGAAAGCGUGGGUAGCGAACGGGAUUAGAUACCCCGGUAGUCCACGCCGUAAACGAUGGAUACUAGCUGUGGGGUUUUCGGACUCCGUGGCCAAGCGAAAGUGAUAAGUAUCCCACCUGGGGAGUACGUUCGCAAGAAUGAAACUCAAAGGAAUUGACGGGGGCCCGCACAAGCGGUGGAGCAUGUGGUUUAAUUCGAUGAUACGCGAGGAACCUUACCAGGGCUUAAAUGCAGGCUGCAUGGGGUAGAGAUACCCCUUUCUUCGGACCGCCUGCAAGGUGCUGCAUGGUUGUCGUCAGCUCGUGCCGUAGGUGUCAGGUU
rnacentral:rRNA from 1 species